UGUUGGGGAUUUCUAGUCACACUAGGCCUGGUGCAGAUUCCUUCUGGAUUCCAAACCACUGCAUUCCCCACAGCUCUGUGGCUCCACUGUGUGUCUAUAACUAACAUCAAAGAAAACUAGAAGUCGGCAGGGUUUCAAGAGCUAAAGAGCUCGUUUUAUGAUCUUUAACAGACAGUUUUUACAGGUUAUUGUUUGUACAUCCACAUAACCCUGUUCAGCAUCAACUGAAAGUGUCUGAAGAAAUCUGGGCCUCUGUAAACAAGACCCGCUGCAACUGAGAGUGCCAGUGUUCUGGAUUUACUGGGUAUCCUAUUGUCUCAGGGCAAAAAGAGAAUAAACACAAAAGGACAGCCACUGAACCUCAGCUCCUUAUGGUCCUGGAUCAAGGAGAGAGAUGUGGCCAUUUCUUCCUAAGCUAAGCACGUCUGGUGUAGCGAUUAUUUCACUUCCGUUUAAUACCAGACAUGGAUUAACAGUGGUAGCUUGGAAUCCAGAGAGGCCUGCCUGGGUCUGUUUAAUCUGUGCGGUAAUGAAGCCUCUGACCUUCAGUUAAAUAGAUUUUGUCAACACUCAUUCAAUAAAUGAGAACUGCUGUUUCAUUAACUUUAACUAAAGCUGCUUGAUUUUGGACAAUUCCUUUCACUAUGGGAAAUACUAAGACUUUGAUUCCAAAGUUUCUCAGCACUCUAUUUCCCGAGUCUUCACUUUAGUUCUGAUCCUUGAAGAUCUAGAUCUCUCCCACACACCCCUUCCAUGCGCGCGGCUCCCUUGUGUACCCGGUUGAAAGAUGCGGACCAGGACUUAAAGCUUUGUCCUUAAGCCUGAGCCUGGGAGCCGGCUGACCUGUCCCAGGAGAGAUGGACCCGCAACUGGCUCGUCAGUGGCGCCAGGGGUGUGGAUUCCUUGGUUGGAGAGGUGAAGAGAGCUCAGACAUCUGGCGCCACUCUUAGACCCUGCAGCUUCAACAAACUUCUUGCAGGAGGCCGGCAGCCCCUCUGCCAGCUCUCGGAAGUGGCUUGCAGCUAGGUACCACCGCGGUAGACUCAGGCACGGUCACUCGGGGGCCCUGCUUUCCCUGUCACUGCCAG
rnacentral:lncRNA from 1 species